rnacentral:rRNA from 1 species
AACGAACGCUGGCGGCAGGCUUAACACACGCAAGUCGAGCGCCCCGCAAGGGGAGCGGCAGACGGGUGAGUAACGCGUGGGAAUCUACCCAUCUCUACGGAAUAACGCAUGGAAACGUGUGCUAAUACCGUAUACGUCCUUCGGGAGAAAGAUUUAUCGGAGAUGGAUGAGCCCGCGUUGGAUUAGCUAGUUGGUGGGGUAAAGGCCUACCAAGGCGACGAUCCAUAGCUGGUCUGAGAGGAUGAUCAGCCACACUGGGACUGAGACAUGGCCCAGACUCCUACGGGAGGCAGCAGUGGGGAAUAUUGGACAAUGGGCGCAAGCCUGAUCCAGCCAUGCCGCGUGAGUGAUGAAGGCCCUAGGGUUGUAAAGCUCUUUCACCGGUGAAGAUAAUGACGGUAACCGGAGAAGAAGCCCCGGCUAACUUCGUGCCAGCCGCCGCGGUAAAAC